CCUACGGGGGGCUGCAGUGGGGAAUAUUGCGCAAUGGAGGGAACUCUGACGCAGCAACGCCGCGUGAAGGAUGAAGGUUUUCGGAUUGUAAACUUCUUUGAUCGGGGACGAAAUUGACGGUACCCGAGGAACAAGCCACGGCUAACUACGUGCCAGCAGCCGCGGUAAUACGUAGGUGGCAAGCGUUGUCCGGAAUUACUGGGUGUAAAGGGCGUGUAGGCGGGAAGGCAAGUCAGAUGUGAAAGCCCAUGGCUUAACUGUGGAAUUGCAUCUGAAACUGUUUUUCUUGAGUGCUGGAGAGGAAAGUGGAAUUCCUAGUGUAGCGGUGAAAUGCGUAGAGAUUAGGAGGAACACCAGUGGCGAAGGCGGCUUUCUGGACAGUAACUGACGCUGAGGCGCGAAAGCGUGGGGAGCAAACAGGAUUAGAUACCCCUGUAGUC
rnacentral:rRNA from 1 species